UCUCAUUUCAGUUCUGCAAAGCUUCAUGGCCGGAUAGCAGCAGCAAAAGGGACAACCAAAACCUUCAACAUUUCUUCUUCCAAAACUCAUGCAAAUCACCACCGAAUCUUCUAAAAAUUUAGCACCACUUAGCCUAAGUUUUGGACAACACAUUUAGCUGGAAAAGGGAGGAGCUUUCACGGUUCUUCAAGCUUCAAAGGGGCCGAAACUUCUGUCCUAACCAGCCAUCAAAGUAGGUUGGAUCGGAAGAUUUUGGUAAAGCCGACUAGAUUAUACUUUUGAUUGGAAUCGGGACUGUAAAUGUGUAGUCGACUUUUAAUGGUUGCAUUUUGGAACUUGAUGUAUCUUUUGUGAACAUGAUGUAAGAUUUAAAUAUUUAGUUAAGGAAGCGACUUUUCUUUAUUUUGACUCGUAGUAUUUGGUAUGUAUCGUUAAGUUCGAUUUGA